rnacentral:rRNA from 1 species
GGUGUGGAUAGGGGAGAAAUUCCAAUCGAACCCGGAGAUAGCUGGUUCUCCUCGAAAUAGCUUUAGGGCUAGCCUCGUAUUAGUUUAGCGGAGGUAGAGCACUGAAUUUCCUAGGGGGCGUCAAAGUCUACCGAAGAAUAUCAAACUCCGAAUGCCGCAUAAAUGAUGUACGGGAGUCAGACUGCACGAGAUAAGUUGGGUAGUCAAAAGGGAAAGAGCCCAGACCUACAGCUAAGGUCCCAAAGUGUGUGUUAAGUGGAAAAGGAUGUGGGAUUUCGAAGACAACUAGGAUGUUGGCUCAGAAGCAGCCACACAUUCAAAGAGUGCGUAAUAGCUCACUAGUCGAGAGGUCCUGCGCCGAAAAUGUCCGGGGCUGAAACACAACACCGAAGCUUAGGAAUGUAGUAAUACAUUGGUAGAGGAGCAUUCUUAAAGGAAUGAAGCAGUACCGAUAAGGAGCUGUGGACUUUUAAGAAGAGAGAAUGCCGGAAUGAGUAGCGAGAUGGAGGUGGGAAUCCUCCAGGCCGAAUAUCCAAGGUUUCCAGAGUAAAGCUGAUCUGCUCUGGGUAAGUCGGGGCCUAAGGUAAGGCUGAGAAGCGUAGCCGAUGGACAACAGGUUGAGAUUCCUGUACCGCGUAUCAUCAGAACUGUGGGGACACAGAAGGACAGCACAUCCCGGGAAUGGAAAGACCGGGGCAAGCAGGGUAGGAGUUAAGCUGGCAAAUCCGCUUAACAAUCCGAAGCUGUGAUGCGGAGCGAAUUUAAGUAGUGAAGUGUGCGAUUCCGGCUGUCAAGAAAAGCCGCUAUUGUGUGAUACGUGCCCGUACCGUAAACCGACACAGGUAGAUGAGGAGAGAAUCCUAAGGCCGGCGGGAGAAGCAUUGUUAAGGAACUCGGCAAAAUGACCCUGUAACUUCGGGAGAAAGGGUGCCUGGGAAACCAGGCCGCAGAGAAUAGGCUCAAGCAACUGUUUAGCAAAAACACAGGUCUAUGCAAAACCGUAAGGUGAGGUAUAUGGGCUGACGCCUGCCCGGUGCUGGAAGGUUAAGAGGAGGGGUUAGCGCAAGCGAAGCUCUGAAUUGAAGCCCCAGUAAACGGCGGCCGUAACUAUAACGGUCCUAAGGUAGCGAAAUUCCUUGUCGGGUAAGUUCC